AGGAGGAGGAGGAACUGGGCUGAACUGAAAGGCAAAAUAAGCAAAGAGCCGUCCUUCUUUCAGGCUCGUUUCUUGUCGCUGUAACGGUUACACACACUGUACAGCCCUGAGGCGUAGAUAGCGCUAGGGCUGGUUGGACCCAUGUAUAUGCGAGUCAGGCACAGGAAGGUCAGUCGGGCCGUCACGUGAACGCACCAGCGUCUGGUUCCGGACUUGUUUUCUUUUUUUCCAACGUGUUUUCUAGGCCGUGCGCACGGCCGCCUCUUGUUUGGUUUGUUUGGGGAAAUGUAAAAAAAUAAAAGGAAGUAAAAUGGAUUUUGUCGCAACCUUCAAUUGUCUACACAAUUCCUAACAUCUUUCUGUUUUGGCUGUUCUGUUUUUGUUUUUCAAAUCUCUCCUGACCCUUCCCUCUAAUCGAUGAAUCAAAUACGACAGCCAAACACAACGUCAAGCGAAAAAAGAAACAGACGACACAAUAACAUUUCGCUCGUUGGCCAUUUCCAGGAAAGAAAACAAAUCGAUAACACGAAGGCUAGUCUAGUACGAACGUUGCCGCCAUUGUGAAAUCAAAAACAACAUUCCCGAAACAACAACAACAAAAUCAAAGAAAUGGCAAGAUGAAGGUAAAAUGGCUGUCUGCUAACACGGCGCAGCAAAACAGUCGUCGACUUAGAUAUUUUCAUACGUCAGUCAAGAGGAGAGGUGGCAAAGUAAAUUGAAUCAUUGCACAGUGACACGAACGUCUGCGAAAUCCCGGCUCGUCAAGAGCUCUUGACGAGAAUCUCAUGCCCGAGAUUUCUGCGAAUUGCGCGCGAAAAAACGGAGGCAAAAACACGUUCGCAUUUCAAAUAAAAACAUACGCACACACACAAAAAAAUGGGAGGAUUGCAGACACAUCCAUCCGACGUGAGAAAAAAAAAAACAACAAACUUUUGGAAGCUUUCCAAAGUGGGGAAUGAGCGUCUGAUUCAAUCUUACUACUUUACAAUUUACACCAUACUAUGCUAAGGUGGUGUGUAUCAACGCAAAGCAAAUCUUGAUGAAGGAAGAAGCGGAAGAACAAGAGAAAAAUAAAAAAAAUAAAAGGAAGUUCAGUUGCAUCUUUGAAUGUGAAAACAGCGCGGCAAACAAAAAAUCGCCUAUGACGACAGAAGUGGCAGAAGUAAGCGGAAGUAUGCGCCAGAUCGAUUCCAGCGGGAGGAUAGAAUUAAAAAAAUCCAGUAAAUAGAGAUGCUACUCCGUGCAUUCUUUUUCCCUAUUAUUGAAGGUAUUCAAGAGAAAGGAAAACAAAAAAUGCGGAUCGAUCCAGUAAGCAAACGGAAAUAUCGCCCCUCCCCCCUCAUUUUUAUUCCCAUUUUGUUUUUGUUUAUAUACAGAUUUUUUUUUUUUUUUUCCCCGGUCACGUUGCUGGAUGCACUCGGCUCGGUACAACUGAACUUGGAUGGGGGAAACAUCCUGCGCUUAGACGUCGUACAAGUCCGAAUUGUAGGGCGCAAGUGCGCACAAUGUUCCGGCGCAUCAGCGCCAUCGUCUCGUACGGAAACACACAGACAACAGACGCAUGGAGAUAGAGAGACACACACAAACUAUGGGGAUACGAUAUACCUAGCCCCUCCAUGUCUUUACGAUGCGGUAAGAGAGAGAGAGAGAGCGCAAAAAAAAGGGGGGGUGGGGGGCGAUCAAUAUCUCAUUCUAGUAAGAACUGAACCCUCUCUCCUUUGGCCUCGACGCUUCGGAGAAACUAACGCAAAACGUCAAGGAUUUCGCAAAUCUUUUCUACAUAAUGUACUGAGCUUAGCACAUGGCGGUGAUGGCUGCGGACAGAGGGAAAGAUAAACAAAAGAAAUAGAGCAAUUCAACUUCAUCAGCAAUCUACUUGUUUCCCCCACUAGAACGCAAUGGUACUGCCAUGACCUCCACCCUGCGUAGCGCUGCAGAAAUGACGGCACUUGAUUCGACGCAAUCCAAUAACACGCUCUGUCGCCACCAGACGAUUGACGGUCCCUUUCAAUCAUAGACCAGCACACAAACAUCCCCCCAAAAAAUAUAGACAAGAAUAAAAAAAAAAAAAAAAAUGACAUAAAUUAGCGGAAUUUCGUCUGUUACAUAACCAAAAAAUUUCGAAACCACUGGCAAUUAAUAAUUCCCAAUUUCCUUAAUCAAAGUAAUUAUUCCCUUCAGUUUUCGUAAAGGGACAUAAAACACACAUCUUUGAUCGCCGAAACGAUUCCUGUUUACUAAUAGAAAAUCAUUCCACUGGUAAUCGCGUUAUCUACGUGACAACGAGUGGCAGGCUACCAAAAAAAAAGAGCUUACAAACAGAGUGUGUGUGUGUGUGUGUGUAUGUUUGGAAGGGAGGAAACGUUGCAAGAGCUCCGGAAGCGAUACGAGAUGUCAUUCUUAGAGGGGGGUUUCUCCUUUUUGUAGACUACAAUGUGCGCUUGGAAAUUGAACAGAGUGAUGGGAAAGAAAGAAGCACUACAGUAGUAAUAGUAGUAGUAGUAGUAGCGGUGGGGUUGGUCGUAUCUGUCAUGGAUGUCAACUGGCACGACGCUGCGGCAUUUUGCCGGAUGACAAUAAAAAGAAGCAAAAGAUAUAAGUGGCCGGGCUGAGAGGAUAGAAAGCGACUGUGUUGGAUUCAUCUGCCAUCGGUCCGUGUUUUGUCAAAGAGACAGGGACCACUUUGAUAAAUCAACCGACAUCCGUAAGUGGACCCGCACCGCAUGGAGCAAAACCCUAACGUAAUCCGGAAAUCAUUCUCUUUGCCCAUCCUCAUUGAAUUUCUCGUUUUUAUUUGACCUUCUACACCCCCAAACGUUUCAGAAUAAUUGGGUAAACUUCGAAAAAUAAAAAAUACAAAUUCAAAAAGAAAAUGGCGGAAAUCCUCACAUUUACAAUUCCCCUCCAAAAAAGGGAAAAAGAAUAGAUACUCAUCAGUUCUCGAUGAUCAAGCGCAGCUGAAUAGACGUCAACGACAUUAACACGAAACUCCGAGAUAAUGUUAGAUAACUUUUUCUCUCAACACCGGUAGAUUAUUCACGUUACAUAACAUUAUUACGGCUUUAUUAUGCGACCCGUUGCCAGGCCAAGGGACAAGGAAAGUCAAUGAGAAUUUUAAACAAGUUUUAAAAGAAGACGAGACUGCAUAAUGGGCCUCUUCAAUCAAUGUUCAAAUUUUGUGUGCGUGUUUCUAUGCGUAAGUCU